AGACUCGCCAGCCUUCCGGCCGCACACGCAGACUCUUGCCCUGAGCUUCCAGCCCCACCACACACACGUUCUUUUGCUUCCCUCAGAAAAGCAACACUCCCCAAAACAACAAACCAAAAUCAACAGAUAAAACAGAUGUUUUAGACCAAUGCUCGGGUAGCUUAUCAGAAAGAAGACUCUGACCACGGAACAUAUAUAUUUUUUGGCUUCUCUCCACAAGAAGAGGAGCGAGAGACCACAGACAACAGCAAAUCACUCCUAAAACACGAUAACUACAAGUGCUCCCUGUAGGGAGAGGUAAAUCGCCCAGCCGACUGGUGAAGUCUUCUGGUUUCGGUACCUAUUUACCUGUGCACUCAUUAUGCGCCUCGGCUUCAUUAACGGCAGGAUCAUGAGCGCGCGUUUUAAUGUGAUGGGAGUGCUGUGUUGUGUGUGUGUGUGUAUGUAUGUAUGUGUGUUGGGAGGUGCUUGCGCUAGUGAGCACCGAGGCAGGCGCUCUGAGCAGAGAGAGAUCAGUCUUUCCAUGGCCACGUCUGGGACUCAUCUGCGGAGCCAUCUAGGCCAGGGCUCCUAGAUUGGGGUUCGACUUCACCCCAUGUAAAAAGAGAGGCCAGCAAAGGCUUCCCCUGAACAGCCAGGUCCUUCCCAUCGGAUUGUUUGAGGAAGGAGGCUUGAAGUGUGAGCCAUUCUGUAGCCGCCGCCUUGCCGGAUUUGGCCUGGUGUUUUGCACUUGAAACUCAGCGGCCUCAGCGCGGAGGUAGUGCCUCUCCGAGACGCGGCCGAGGCCUUGUCAUUCCCCUCCUUCCGCCCGCGGCAGCCCUGCGCGCCGGCGUGUGCGUGCCCGCGCACCGGACCGCUGGCACCUCCCUGUGCACAUCCGCCCCCUCCUCUGCUCGCCCCCUCCUCUGGGGCAGCUAAGAAAUGGUCCUCGGCCUCUUCUGGGCCGGAGGGCAGAUCUACGAGCAGGCAAGAAAGGGGCGCCGGUGGCUGUGGUGGCGACUUCUCCGCUCUGCCCUCGGCCGCCAAGUGUGCCGUUUCAUCGUUCCACCUCGCAGCCCCAGCUUUGUUUUCCUGACAUGUUCGUGGCCAUUGGGCCCCACGCCUGCGAGGGGAGUGUGUGCGUGUGCGCGGGGGUCGGGCGCGCGCGGCGGGUGGGGGCUCUCCCGCCAAGGACACGCAUGGCUGUCUGUCCUCCGGCUGCACUUGGCGGGAAAGCUAGGGGCCGCCGGCGGGGCUGAGCGCCAGCGGCUGUCAUUACCGCCUCCCUGCUCCCCGCGGGCUGCAUUUACAUACGGGCCACUCGUCUGAAUUUUUACGGCACUCUUCCCCCUCCCGUACCCGGUCGCACGCGCGCAGGCUCGGAACUACCACCCCGGCACGCAGACACCCGCGCCCAGAAUGCGGCCAGCCCCAGGCGCGCAAACAGGCCCACAGGGGCCGACGGCACUCGGCGGGACGGAUUCCUGCACCGCCUCCCCGCACCCCCGUGCCCACACCCCUGACAGCCUCUCCGCUUGUGUUGCAGGAAGCCCACCUUCCCCUCGAAGCCCCCACCCUUCUCUGUCUGCAUACUUCCACCCCCACCCUCCCACAUCUCUCCGUCUCUCUUUCCGUGGAAGGCAGACGCGCGCGCGCGCGCGCACACACACACACACACACACACACACACACACCCGCUUUUUCUUCCUCCUCAAAUAGAUGACCCCUAUGGCGCGUCCCUGGUACAUUUAGAAUACCUCUAGAGUUUAGAGAAUAAAAUUCUUUAGAAUGCAUUGCUUGUCUUUAGCUAAACACAUUUAACAACCACGACACAAACGGGGAGGAGUGAAGAAGGGGGACUUGAACCAAAAGACCUUUAAAAAAAAAAAAGUCUGCGAGUCAAAAGGUCAUUCUCCAAGUUUGUAAAUAAAAUUGCAAAGGGAGUCCUUAAGAAAGGAGAGGAAAGAAGGGGAAGAAGGUUAGGAAGACUCACAAGUUACAUAAAACAGUGCAUUGGAAAAACGACAGGGAGAUUCUGUAAUAAAAAAAAAAGAAGAAUCUUAAGAAACCAAGAGAGAGAAAAAAAAACUGGAGGAAAAAAGAAAAAGAGAAGAAAAGGAUUUUAAAAAAAAGAAAAAAGCAAAAGAAGUUUCCAAAGAAAUGUGUGCUUUGCAUCCUACAAUAGGAAAAUGUAGCCAUUGCCUUCCUUCAGACGAGACAUUUCUAAUUUGUUCCGUCUGUCAGGAGGGGACUAUGAGAGGUUUGGGUGCAAAUUCAUUAUCUCUGGCAACGCAGAACGUAGUGUGGGGACUGAAAAAGACCGUGGCAAUGGAUGAACAAUAGGGCUUCAGUUCAUCAGUAACAAAAGCAGUGGGGAAAUUGGUUGAGUUUCAGAGCACGUCCUCCUCGGCAGAGGGGGCUGGACUAGACCUUGGACAGCCCCCCCAAAAACUUGCCAAGCCUCGCACACACCACUUCACUCUCCACUCCGAGGCUCAGGGAGCAAGUGCCUGGCAUGGGGGGUAAAAGUUGGCUUUUUUUUUACUCCUUGGUCUUUUGCGCCCUUCUCCCUCUCCCCAGAAGGGAAGACCCAUUUAAACUAUUUUAGACGCAAUCAACCAAGAAUCACCAUGUGGAAUUGAGCGGCAGUUUUAAAUGUGUUGAGCAGGGGAGAGGAAUGAUGAGAAAAACAUUUUUUUUUUUUUUUUUGGAGACGCCGAAAGAAGCCUGUUUGUGUGCUGCGGCCGUGCUGUGACUUUGGAUCUUGUCUUUCAGCCGGCGCCUCGGUUCCUGCCCAGCUGGAUUUGGGGGGCAGCAUUGCCUGGCGCAGGGUUUUCAGAUGAGACUGCAAAGAAGCAUAAAAUGAAUAGACAAUCCAACCAACCAAAGACCGGGGGCAGCAGCAGGCCAGCAAGACGGCAUCUUCUCCUUCCCAGCCUAGAAGCCCUGUGAAAUCGAGGAUCUUCCCCCUAAAACACAUACACACAAGAUAUGUGCAAUCAAGCUGCCACCGCUUGGUAAAAAGCCAUGGUGCCUAACCAAAAAGGAUCAGGAACAGAUCCUUGAAUCAGCUGUCACUUCUAUAGAAUGGGAUUUUUUUUUCCUUCCUCCUUAACCUGCGCUGGAAAUUGCCGUUGGCUUUAUACAUCUCUAUAGAGAGAGGCUAAAGAGUCUUGCGUGAGAAAGAAGCAAUUUACAAUGCAAAUAGAGGCCUGUGAAGGGACGGAUGCUGCUGCUCACUCGUAACAGCUUGCUGCACCUUAAUAGCUGGUUUUAUUUUCUGAUAUUAAUAGAUGAAUUGUUGGCUAACGCUGCCGGAGAUUACUUGCUGAAAGGAAAAAGAAAAGUUCGGAAUAAACUCUGAAGGCAACAGAUCUCGUUUGGAUGUUUUAGCCGCGCACACACACAAACAGAAACCAGGUCAUAUUUACAUAAAAGGAGGAAUCUUAAGCGCGGCAAGUAUCCUGGACGACCACUCUUCGGUACUGCCAGAAAGGAUCAGGACCUGGAGUCUGGCAAGAGGAAGACAGAGGCCUGUGUGGGAAGCGAGUUGUUAUCUUUGGUUAUCUAGCUGUAUGAGUGUAUUGGUCUUCAUAAAGCUAGAUAACCGAAAGUAAAAACUCCUUCAAGAUCGCCGGGGAGCGUGUGAGAAUGAAAGACUACAGCCGAGAGACAGUAAAAACCAGAAAGGUCAGGAAUACUUAUUGAAUCUAACUUUGUUUUUGUUUUGUUUUUUUCCUUAUGAUUAAAGGUGGGAUGAGAGAAAAUUAAAUGACACACACAUGCUAAAAUAUCAAGGUUCCAGAUAUGUCUUGAGAGGGGUUGUUGCAGCUGCAAAGGAGAAGUGUAUAGUGAUAAUGAGUAAAGAUGCAUGUGCAGUUUGUUCUAUUUUAAGGCAAAAGUUAUAUCAGGGAUUUUUUUCUUAGAAAGGUGUUGCAGAGAUGUCUGGUACCUAGUUUAAAAAUGAUUCCAUAAUAUGUAGACUUGGGCAGUUCCUUUGGGAGGCACCUCCCUCUCAAAAUUUGAAGAUUGUGCUUGGAAAUUACUUUACAUGUAUUUGGGCUGUAUGUCAAUUUGUACGAAAUUAGACUUUCAGAAAAGUUUAUACUGGAAGGUUAAUAAUUUGUAUCUACUGAGGACUUAGAGCUAGCAGGCAAAAUGAAAAAAAAAAAAAAAAAAGCAAGGGCUGAUUUUUAUUCUUCUAUUCAAAAUACAAGGACAGAUGCUUCUCUGUUCCAAGAGGGUUUCCUUGAGGAAGCUACUGAAGCAGAAAGACAUGAUGGAGACGAGAUCGCCUCCCCUCUUGUCAAAGUGUUAAAAAAAUGUUCUGUCUUACUCUGCGCCUAGCAUUGGAAAUGAAAGUGACAUUUACGCCACAACCCACGUGUGCGCCUCCUCUCUUUUUGUUUAAGGAUGAUCAGGUCUAUCCAGGAAACAGCUCUGGCAUCCCAAACUGAAAUAAUUAGGACGUAUAUAGACCUGACAAAAAUGGAAAGGGGGUGGGGAAUCUGAGGGUCUGUCUUGCCUAAUUGAUUCCGCUAAACGGAAUGCAGGAGAUGUGAACGGCAGGACGCUCCGAUUCCCACGCUCGGGGGCAAGUGAUAAAGCGGGGCCGGGCAGCCUAUGACAGACAGCCCUGUUGGGGGGUGGGGGUAUGAAAAAAACAUCAAGUGCACACACCAUACUCAUCUCCAUCGCUUAAGAAAGUAAAGGCAUUUCCCACCCACAGCCAUCUGCAGCUUCCCAAAUGGCAGCACCAACUGGUCUGUAGCUGCUACAUAGUCUGCUUCUGUUAAUUUUUUAACCACUGUUUAAUCUGGCCAUAAUUAAGUUUGGCUUUCUUCGUUGUUUGAGAUUUUCAGAAUUCAAGGCAAGCUAGUAGAAAGCAAUUCCAAGAAAGUCCCAUGACUGCCUGCCCCUAAUGUCAAAAUCUCAGUCCAUGAGAUUAUGGCCUUGUGACCACAUUUUUGCUUUUGUUUUGGGUGGGCAAAUGUGUAUAGAGAUAAAAUACAUAUCUCUAUAUAACAGUCGUUAUUAUAAUUUCAUGAGGCUUUUUACCUCUUAACAUGAUACAUCUAGGAACUUGGUCUAAUUGUGCUAGUAGAUAUACACUAGAAGUAAAACUAUAAAGUCAUUAGCCUGUAGAAAGUUGAUUAUGAUAACAAUAUGAUAAAAAGUUUGUUUUGGAAUAGUCUCAGCUAGAUGGGUCUAAAUAGCCAUUUUAAUGUAAUCUAAAAAUAACACUAUGCCUAGCAGAAACUUUGGCGCUUUGGAGGUCCCCAUUGUCGCCUUUUCAUAAAAGUCCUUAAGUUUUCCAUAUGUCACCAAGCAAACAUUUGUAUAGGCAUUUACACAGAAAUAUAACCAUUGCAAUUAGAAAAUAUCCAAAAUAGCCUGUUAUCUUCCACGUGGCCUAGAUUAUUGACAAUCCCAAAUAUACAAUUUUUCUUUAAAAGUAGUACAAUUUCCUUUGUAGCUUCAAUUCCUUAUAUGACUUCAGACUGGAGAAGCCUGUUAAACCACUGUUAGUUUCAGUUAGAAAGUCUGAGAGACUUUAUACAUAAAUUCUCAAUUUGGCUGCUGUACACGUGCCAGAGUUUUACUACUGUAGUGACCGUUGAGAAGACCCUUGUUUAUUUACAUUUGAAGCACUGUUUGUGCAAACAACCUUUCAUUGUUAAGUGCCUGUAUUCCUUUCAUUUACUUCAUGUCCAGGGGUGCUAUUUACCUAGAACCAUUGUCUACUACAAUUAACAUUUACAUUACAAAGUGUGUGGUUUUCUUUUUCAAGGAGGUUCAAUUAAGGCAAUAAGAUGUUUGCUGGAGAAACCUAUUGUUUACUGAAAGCACUCAAUGAAGUCAAAUUACUGAAGCUUUUGCCUACAUCUUGGUCUUUUAUGUAAAUAUGUUAAAUAUAACAUCUAAGGAAAAUAAACAAUAUUAUAAUUAUGUGUUUGCCAUUGUCAUAUCAAACUUGCUUUGUAUCAUACUAAUGUUACAUAACUUAUCGAUCAAUAAAAAUACAUUUCAAUGUU
rnacentral:lncRNA from 1 species